AAGUCGUAACAAGGUUUCCGUAGGUGAACCUGCGGAAGGAUCAUUACGCUGUAUUGUCAGGCCCUAGACUCUCGAACGCAAGCUCGAUUGUCUAUCCUGUCUACUUACAACCAUGUUUUUGUGCACCAUCUGUUUCCUCGGCGGGCUCGCCCGCCAGUAGGACAUUUUAAACCCUAUUGUAAGCAGUCAGCGUCAUAAAACAAAAAAGACCACAACUUUCAACAACGGAUCUCUUGGUUCUG
rnacentral:misc_RNA from 1 species